CUGCCGCCGCGGUAAUACCGGCGGCCCGAGUGGCGGCCACUAUUAUUGGGCCUAAAGCGUCCGUAGCCGGGCUGGUAAGUCCUCCGGGAAAUCUGGUCGCUUAACGAUCAGACUUCCGGAGGAUACUGCUGGCCUAGGGACCGGGAGAGGCCGAGGGUAUUCCCGGGGUAGGGGUGAAAUCCUGUAAUCCCGGGAGGACCACCUGUGGCGAAGGCGCUCGGCUGGAACGGGUCCGACGGUGAGGGCCGAAGGCCAGGGGAGCGAACCGGAUUAGAUACCCGGGUAGUCCUGGCUGUAAACGAUGCGGACUAGGUGUCGGGCAAGCUAAGGGCUUGUCCGGUGCCGCAGGGAAGCCGUUAAGUCCGCCGCCUGGGGAGUACGGCCGCAAGGCUGAAACUUAAAGGAAUUGGCGGG
rnacentral:rRNA from 1 species